rnacentral:lncRNA from 1 species
UUAAUGGGCUGCGAUCAAAGAUAUGGGCCGUAAGAAACUGAAACCCAUAGCAAACAAUCGAGUUCGAAAACGAAGACUUCGAGGUCCCAGAGAUCGCGGAACAGUCACGAAGAUCGCGGAGCAGUUACGAAAGUCACGAGGUCGACUCGCUAUAAAGGAAGAAGAACGGACAUGGAGAGGGACACGUUGGAAACUAUAGAGAGAGCUACACAUAUACAUCGACCUUAUUUUCAUCCCGAUCUUAGAUCAUUUCUUUACCGAUCUCAUUUGUAUCAUUCGAUCUAGUUCAACUCAUUGUAUUCGAUCUUAUUCAUCAAUAAAGUCCAUUUUUACCUACUGAAAACUGUUUAUAUCGUUGUGUUCUAAAGAUAUCGUUGCCUACAUCAUUUAUCUUCCCUAGAUCAAACUCUUGAUCACUAUCAAAUACUUAGUGUAGAUUUAUCUUCCCUAGAUCAAACUGCCGAUGAUCUGACCCGAUCUCAAUCCAGACCAAUUUCGCCGACCCCUCUAGCCCAAACUCGAGAAGAGGUGACCGAACUUCGAGGCAUGGUCUCGUCUCUAAUCGACGAAAUUCAUAAUAAAUGAAU